UAGGGAAUCUUCGGCAAUGGGGGCAACCCUGACCGAGCAACGCCGCGUGAGUGAAGAAGGUUUUCGGAUCGUAAAGCUCUGUUGUAAGAGAAGAACGUGUGUGAGAGUGGAAAGUCCACACAGUGACGGUAACUUACCAGAAAGGGACGGCUAACUACGUGUCAG
rnacentral:rRNA from 1 species